rnacentral:rRNA from 1 species
UACGUAGGGUGCAAGCGUUGUCCGGAAUUAUUGGGCGUAAAGAGCUCGUAGGCGGUCUGUCGCGUCUGCUGUGAAAACUCGGGGCUUAACCCCGGGCCUGCAGUGGGUACGGGCAGACUAGAGUGCAGAAGGGGCAACUGGAAUUCUCGGUGUAGCGGUGAAAUGCGUAGAUAUCGAGAGGAACACCUGCGGCGAAGGCGGGUUGCUGGGCUGACACUGACGCUGAGGCGCGAAAGCUAGGGGAGCGAACGGG